rnacentral:rRNA from 1 species
CAGGUCUGCAAAUUCUAGGCAAACUCCGCAGGCCAACCCAGCUUUAAAAUACUGGCCAGUCACUGGCCCGCCGAUCGGUCCUGACUAAUUCCUCCCAAACCCCACCGUCCUACAUCUACGAGACUCAGAUGAAUAGAUGCUGUUCACACUAGGUAACUCCCAACUCCGUUACUAAACGUUACGGCAUCUAGGUAACUCCGUUACCAAACGGUUGCCCGCUGAUUCAGGUUCAACGGCUAUUCACUACUCAAUCGUUGGUGUCGAAACCGUAUUACUGUCCGUUUCGGCCGCUUUAUGUUACGUGGCCCGUUACGUCCUGCUAGCGUAGGGUGUCCUCGGAGUUGACUGCACGGGGCUGCAGCUUAGUCUAGUGCAUUCCAUCGAGGGCCCGGGUGGCCGCGCGCGAGACGUUACGGCCCGGGUGGGCAGUCUCGCGGGCAGUUCGUGCAAAUAAUACCAUUCCAAGUACUCCUCAUGUGCGGCGACGGGAAGGUAAGGUAAGGUAAGGUCUGGGCAGCUCUCUGGCGCGCCUGACACAUCGCACAGCGCCCUCUCUUCGGGUUUCGAAACCGCCUCGGUACCGCCUCCUUUGGCCUCGCUGCCGCCGAAGUCCCAGCCGUCGCCCGUUCUACUGCUACCACCAGCCCCACCUGCUCUCGCUCGUGUCGAUGAUGCGCGACGUCACCUGCGAGGAGGUGAAGAAGAGGGGCCCGGUCGUCGUCGUCAUGGCGGAGCAGCAGCAGUGUCGGUUCGGGUGGCGGCGCAGGCGGCAGCCGGAGCGGCCUGGUCCACGGCGUCUCCACGACGGCAAGCAACUCCGCCUGGACUUCGCCUCGAGCGACGCGCAGUAGCUGUUCCGGUUCCUCGAGACGCGCGUCCACUCGCUACGACAGAAACUUCACCACCUUCCCCUACGCUCCUUGCAGGAGACGCUCCGCCAGCUUUCCGUAGUGCGUCUCUACAACCAACACCCGUUGGUACCGAUACCUCGUUAGUUUUCCCGACAAGAACCUUCACACUCGCUAAUGACGUGGGUGGUGCGCGUGACAUGACACUACUAACACUUCUUUGGUUUCGUGUUCGUGACUCGUUGCGGGUCGAGUCACUAAUCAUAAACUCGAAAGCACACAUAUCGGUUACACACGUACAAACACUUAUUUACCUAGCGCCUACAGUGUUAAGUGUUGAAGUCUCAUCGCUUGAGGACGUUCACCGGGUGUUAUAGGAUGUACACCUAAGAACUAACUCUACCACUUAUUGACUACUGCACGGAGUAGUCUUGUCACAAUAAACACUACGUCUACGUAGUUAACGUGCUUACAACAUACAUAUACAUUAGUUCUGACGUUCAAGGAACGUCACCUGUGCACACAAACGAAGAAUAGCUUCACACUAAACAUUUACAUACGAAGAAGACAAGUCUAAAAAAUUAGGGGAACGUUUUCCUCUGAUUUUUUUUCCUUGUUUUAAACUAUCGGUGUCCUGUGCCUCCAUUGGACGCGCGAAGGGCGCGAGGCCCAGGAGGAGGGUCGGCGAUCGGGGUAAAAGGGUCUCCAUGUUUGGCAGGCGAAGUAGUCGACGAAGGGAAGAAAAGAACAAGUAGUAGUAGUUUCGGUCGGUUCAACUCCGGUGAUCCAUUGCCUUGACCGAGUUCCUUUGUACCGCCGCCUCCCUCUCCGGGAGUACCGUCGCCUCUCCCGUCUCUGCAGAUGACGUGGCCGCCACCCCCGCCUUAGUCCUCGUUUGCCCUUCGGCCGCCGCUCGCCCUUCGGCCGCUACCACGACCCCUAGCUGCUCUCGCUCGUGUCGAUGAUGCGCGACCUCACCUGCUAGGUGGUAAAGAAGCGGGGGCCGGUCGGCGUCGUCAUGGUGGAGUAGCACCAGUCGCGGUUCGGGGGACGGCGGAGGCAGUAGCCGUAGCGGCCGUAUCCGUGCCGCCUCGACGAGGGCUCCCACCUCGAGCUGGAGUUCGCGCGGAGGCGGUCUCAGUAGCUGUUCCGGUUCCUCGUCACGAGUGUACACUGGCUGCAGUCGAUACUUCACUUUCUCCCGCUGCGCUCCUUACACGACACGCUCCGUCAACUCUCCGUAGUACGUCUGUACGACCAAUACCCGUCGGUACCGAUGCCGCGAAAGUUCUCCCGGCAGGAACCCUCGCACUCGCUAAUGACGUGAGUGUUGCGCGUGACGUGGCACUACUAUCACUUCUUUGGUUUCGUGGUAUUCUUCGUACUUGUUAACCCCAAGGUGUCUUUCCUCCGAACUUUUUCAAAAAUUCCGGGAAUCCAAUCUCUAUCUAUACUUUCUCCAAAUCCGGACGCACAAGUUCAUAAUUGGCUAACGGAACGUCUAGUUAUACACCAGAGUAUCGCUUGACUCGAUUUGAGUCUACCAAUCCAAGGAACACAACCUUGGUUGGGUUAUCAAGUUGAGGAUCUGAACCGUGAUCACCAGCGUAAAAAGACCUAAAUAAAGUC